ACUCAUUUUGCUUUGAUAGUGCCCAGUUACAUGAGGUAGAGGUGUCCUUUAUUUUGUUACACGGUGCAUGUGGGAGAAACAGAGGCAGAUUAAGGUUUAGUGGGGGCCUGGGCCAGAGCAAAUGGGAGGCCCAUCCCCAACCUUUCCACCUGCAGUCCCGCCCCUGUUCCACCACUUUCCCCCGCGGCCCUGCCCGUUCCACCCACAGGUCCGCCCCAUUCCACCCUCCCUGCAGCUCCACAACCUGUUUGCUCCUUUCAGUCCCCUUCUGCUGCAGCCCCAAGACCGGAGAAGCUCUGUGUCCCCCCUCCUACACACACAGGCUGCAGCGGGGACUGAGAGCUCCCCAGCUCUGAGGCCACAGCAGGGAGCAGCCAGGGUCUGGGCGCGUGGGCUUCAGGAGGGUCCUGCCGAAGUGCAGAGUUGGGGCGUGGGUGUGCCCAUGUUUCCAGAGGCCCCCCAGUUGGCUUGUCAUUGUCUUUUACCAUCCAUUUUAGUGCACUGUCUUCAUGCUUGGUCUGGCGCCGUUUUUGUGGUGUCUAAUUUUUGAUCGGUUAAUGUUUAAGUAAUCCUGCCCAGAAACUGAGUGAAGGCGGGAAAUUCAAACAGUAAAGGCAGAAAGGGGUCAUCUGACUCCCAGUUAUUCUGCCUAGUGACAGAAAGUCUAUAUAAGGGGGUUACACACUCUUUCAGGUGCUGUCUGCUCAGGAAGUGCUUGGUCAUGCGACAGAGGAAGAGGAACAUCAUCAAAACACCUUUGCUUACCUGGUUGACCAUUGUCCAGGAAGAUCUACUGUUCCAUCUCAAGCUCCUGAUUCCAGUAGCUGUCCUCAAGGUCUUGACCUGAGUUACCUGAGAAACAAGUCAGAUGAGAGAAUCGUGAGCCAUCUACAACUGAAUUCCUGUCACUGUAGAGACUGAGAAACUUUCCCAAGCCAAUUGGCAAUUACUUCUGGAGGAACCAAAGCAUCACACAGGCGAGCAGCAUAUGGAUCUGGUCUGAAGCCGUCUGCAUGUAGGAGAUGUACCCUGACAUCUUUGGUAACCCGCAGUAGUGUGAUUUCAGCUUCAAUCACCCCCACCUACGGAAAACAGUGCCAGUAUUCAGAAUGGCAUCCCUAGGCGUUUGUACUGAUCCCUUUAUGAAAACACCCAUACCUUUUGUCCUGUCUUGCACCACUCGCCCCAGGUCUGAACUCACCAUGGUUAGUGCUCUGGCCAUGCUGCGUGCUUGCCAAGGGAAAGCAAGAAAGAGGUGUAUGUAACUUUUAUGAUUCAACACAGUGAGUGCAAUCACAAUAUUGACUAUGUGUAUUCUUUCUUUUGUUUAUGCAAAUGUGCCCUUGAGGGCCAGCUCCUACACACUGGCAGAGUGCCUCCAUCAGAUAAGGAGGCAAAUGAGGAGGAGUAAGGAGGACAUGUUUUGUGAAGUGCUGCAAUCAUCAGAUCAGGCCAAUAGUGAGCACAGAACAUGGAGAAAGACAAUAAAAGAAAAACUAGAAAUGGAUAGCCAGGAAAGGAGACAGGCCCAGGAGCGGAUCAUAGAGGGUCAGAAGCAGAAAAACAAAGCUCAUGAAGGACCAAACAGAGAUGCUGAGGUCCCUGGUUGUGCUGCAGGUGGAACACAUGCAUGCUCGACUCCCCCUGCAAUUCAUACAGGACUGCCUUCCUUGUCCUCCCCAAACUCCGUCCACCUCAACAUUUCUCUCGUGUUCCCAACCCAUCACAGUACUUCUUGCACUUCACCCCUGAGACAUUUUCCAUAAUGACAGCUGGACUUGCACACCACUGUGAGAUCCUCAAUUCAGUGAAUGCUGUUCACUAUCAUGUCUCUUGUAACAAAUGUUAAUCUGUGUAUUGCUGUUUAAUAAAAAUUUAGUCUUACAA